rnacentral:lncRNA from 1 species
AGUUCUAAAUUCUCUUUCAGCUCCAAUUCUAUGGUUCUUAUUUUCUAAUUAUUUAUUUGUAUCUCUUUUUUCAGGGAACCACCAUCGUGCCAUUGCUGUCUUCUAUUCUGCAUGAUGAUGAAGAGUUCCCUAAUCCAGACCAGUUUGACCCAGGUCACUUCCUGGAUGAAAGUGGCAACUUUAAGAAGAGCGACUAUUUCAUGCCUUUUUCAACAGGAAAACGGAUAUGUGCUGGUGAGAGUCUGGCUCGGAUGGAAUUAUUUUGUUUUUUACUACCAUCUUACAAAAUUUUACUUUGAAAUCUGCCAUUGACUCAGAAGAUAUCGACACACCCCAAUUGCCAGUGGAUUUGUCAGAGUGCCCCCUCCUAUGAGCUCUGCUUUCUCCCUUCCUAAAACAUGUGAAGGACUAGCCCUAGUUCCAACUGCUCUAGAGUCUCCUCAUGUUUAUGAACAAGAUGUAUUCAUUCCAUUGCCUGCCAGUGAAAGCCCUCUAUGCUUUCAGCCCAAUAUGCUCUUCUAGCAUAAUCUAAUACUGCCUUUGACUUUUGCCAAAAUCAUGAUUUAACUUUCCCCAUCCUUCCCCAGAAAUUCCCCAUUCUGGGAAUAUUUCUUCUUUUUUCUUCACUUCACUUCAACUCCACUGGCAGAAAUCUCACCCACCCUUGAAUCACAAUUUAGGUGCCAUAUCCCUGUGACCUUUUUAGUUCUUACAGUCUGUACAAUUCAAUCUAAGCCUGAAUUAUACAUAUGCAUCUUACGUUGUGUGUUCUUUCAGAUAUGUUUAUUGAUCCCAUCUUGUGCUCCUCCCCAGAUCUUAAGAUUCUUUUCAGUAGGGCCUCUAUCCUAUACUUGUGUGUAGUUAUCUACCAUCAGUUAGUUAGGAGCCAUUUUCUGCUCAUUAAUUGUCUCAUGUUAUAUACUUCAAAAUAUACAUGUAUCCUACUAUGAUGGCAGCUUAACUGCUCACAAUGUGAUGUCAGUGAGGUGGCACCUUGGACAGGGUCUUGGACCUGGAAUUACAAAGACCUGAGUUAAAAUCCAGCCUUAGACAUUUACUGGCUAUAUGAUCCUGGGAAAGUCAUUUCACCUCUGUUUGCUUCAGUACCUUUAUGUAUAAAAUGGGGAUAAUCAUAGCACUUAUCUCCCAAGAUUAUUGUGAAAGGAUCAAAGGAGUUGAUAAUUUUUAAGCAUUUAGUACAGUGUCUGGCACAUUGUAAGUGCUAUAUAAAUAUUACCAGAAAUUGUUAUUAUUACAACAAUAGCUACUACUACUAUUACUCCCAGUACUAGUACUACUACAACUAUUACUA